GAUAGACUAACCCUCCGAUCAGUUCGUGUUCAUAUUGGAGGGUCUUGUUUUCACAAAUUAUCGGACCACGUGCGAGGACAUUUUCUGUGAUGGUGGAGCAGUCCCGUUUUCUUUGUUAGUGUAUAUGUGUGUGCGUAUGUGCGUGUGUGUGUGUACGUGCGUGUGUGUGUGUGUGUGUGUGUGGCUCCUGACGACGGGGGGUCGCGGCCGCCGCCUCCCCGGCCCCGCCUCCCCCGACUCUCCACCGGCCGAGUCUUGCUAACAAAGAACCCCGCCGCGGCCACCACCUGCAGCCGCCGGGUGGAGGCCCCACCACGCCGAGCCGCCGCCCGCCAGCUGCCCCGCCGCCGCUGUUACAUCACCACCCUGCUUCUUCUGCUGCUAUAGUCGCAUCUCUUCAGCAUUUCAAGCCUAUAGUGUAUGUGGGGAUAGUAUUAUCACAUUAUUUUUCAGAGUAUGACAGUAUGACACAACACGUGGCUGUCUGAGAGGAAGGAAUGGACGCACGCUUGACAGCCUGUCUUCGAUCUGUCUGCUGCGUCCGAUUUCAUAAAGCAUCCCACUACUUCCAGUUCCAUACCUUUCCCUUAUGCAGUGUUUCAGUAGAUUAUGGAGGCCAAAUAUGUUCAAGGAUAAGAAACAUUUUUCCUGAGCGAAGAAUGCAUUAUAUACGAGUAGUGAGUACCGUAAUCGAUAAAAUGUAUCGUUUUAUGCCAUUAUUAUAGGCUGUCCUACUGUCGAUAAGUUAAGAAAACCGGUUAGGCUAUCCAGGUGGUGGUUAUAUCCAAGACUUAAUAAUCCACGCAACUGUAACCUUCCGCAUAUGUUAACGGGACUGGUGGAGGAAGUUAAAAGUGGGGCCACGGCAUCUGCUCCUACACAACUCUUGCAGUCUCAUAAAGCAUUUUGAGAUGUGAAACAAACAAACAUAUAUAAAAUAAAAAUUUUCUGAUGUAUGAUUCAAGGUACUUGUGAUAUUACCUUAGUCAAAAAGACAUACUUUGAAACCAAUUUUCCACUCAUUAGAGUCUGUUAAAGGUUUGAAAAAUGCCAUCAUCGUCUAUGCAUCCAUUUACUUAAAGAAAACUAGCCUAUAUAUUGUAUGCACUAAUGUAUAAAAGAACACUAGAAAUAUACAAUUAUAAAUUCUUCUACUGUGUUGUAAAUGUAUUUAACAAUGAAGAUUCAGGGUAAAAGAAGAUAAAAAGUCAACUCGGCACCGUUGCUUCGGGAGUCGGAGAUAAACAAACGCACGUGAGAGCUUCCGCUGCACCACAGCAGGGUGACGGGACGCUGUGUUGCUUGUCACCCUCACCGUGUCACCGUACCACUUUGACCGUCAGUGUCUGAAUAGCAAAUAACCAAUUACCUUAUGAUUACCAUGAAAAAAAAAAAAAAAAACUCACCAUCCCUGUUUGAUGUCAUGAAGGUUGUUGCAUCACUUAGCACACAGAGACAAAUCAGGAACCUUCAGUCGCUGGUGAAAAAACAUUUGAUGCAGUGUAGGAUGAUCUGAGUGCCUUGGGUGAGUGUUUGAUGUUUUAUGUUAAAUGCAGCAAGCUCAAUUAAACCUUGACUCAUUCACACUUAGGCUUAGUCAUAUCUUAGCUUUAUUGACUUGCUUAUUCAAACUGCAUAGGCUUAUUCAGACACUUAUCUCAGCUUAUUCAAAUCUUGGCUUACUUAAGACCUAGGUUUUAUUCAGAUCUUGAUUCAUGCAGUCUAUCUUGAUUCUUGACUCAUUCAGACACUAAUCUCAUCUCAUUAAGUCUGCUGUAUUGAGUUGAUAUAUGAAUGACCCAAAAAUAUCUUGAUAAUAUGAAAUCAGCCAAUUUUAACAGUCUAUAGGGAACUGUGCAAGGGUGAUGUAGGGUGUGCUGUCUAGUAAAAUGAUGUCAGGUGUGAGAUGAGAAGAAGAAUGUGUGGAAGGAGGAUAGAGACUGGGCAAUAAAGGAUGGUCUUGUCAGGUAUGAGAUGAGGAGGAGGAUGUAUAGGAGGAGGAUAGACACUGUAGGCAAUAAAGGAUGGGGUUGUUAAAUUGAAGGAUGUACUUGAAUGUAAAAAAAAAAAAAAAAAAAAAAGAUGAAGCUGAGAGUGAAUGUAAGAGAUUAAGAUGACUGGAGUAUGCAUUGGUAAGAUGUGUAGAAAUGAGUGGAGAUAUUUCUAGUAUUAUCUUAUUGCAAAUUUUAAGUCAAGGUUGAGGGAUGAGAAUGCAUGAGCUGGGUUACCAUACUAUGCAUGUAAUCCCCCAUGUACCCUUGCCCUGAUACACUGUCAGCCUGCACACUGUCACAUUACAACCCUUGCACACUUCUUUGGUCUAAAACUGCACAGUCCAAACAGAGCCCCAUAAUGCAGUCCUACCACACAAUCCUAGCACACAGCCCUACCACAUAGUCCUCCCAGGGCCGUGCAGAGGGGAGGGGCUGGAGGGGGCUUGAGCCCCUGCCCCUUUGAACCUUGAUGCUCAAAGUGCCCUUUUGCAGCAUUUAAGGGGUGCCAAAUUGAAGCUGAAAGUCAUGAAAUAAUUAACCCCUAACUUCAAAUCCCUUCAAAUGCCCCUUUUAAACUUUUGAGCCCCUGCCCCUCCAGUGGUCUCUGCAUGGCCCUGAGUCCUACCAUAGAGUUCUACCAGACAACCAUAACAUAGACCCCUACCACACUGCUAUACCACACAUCUCUAUAACACAGCCAUAACAUAUAGAGCCCUACCACACACUUCCAUACCACACACCCCUACCACACACUCCUACCACUUAACCCUACCACAUAGCUCAAUAACACAGCCCUACCACACACCCCUAACACACACCUAUAACAUACAGUCUUACCAUACAGCCCUACCACACACCCCUACCUUACAUCCCUACCACACAAUCCUACCACACAUCCCUACCACACAACCCUACCACACAAUCCUAAAACAUAGCCUUACCACACAGCCCUACCACACAACCCUACCACACAGCCGUACCACACAGCCUUACCACGCAGCCCUAUCAUACAGCUCCAUACCACAGCCUUACCACACAAACCUACCACACAGUCCUCCCACACAGCUCCAUACCACAGCCCUACCACACAGCUCCAUACCACAGCCCUACCACAAAGCUCCAUACCACAGCCUUACCACACAGCCUUACCACACAACCCUACCACACAGCUCCAUACCACAGCCCUAACACAAAUCUACCACACAGCUCCAUACCACAGCUUUUCCACAGACUUACCACACAGCUCCAUACCACAGCCCUACCACACACCCCUAACACACAACCCUACCACACAGUUCUAUAAUACAGCCUUACCACAGAAUUGUACCUUACAUCCCUACCACACAACACUACCACACAGCCUGAUAAUACAACCAUGUCUCCCUUCCAAAGCAUUCCACCUGCACUCCUCAACGCCAGCUCAUAAACAGCCCUUCUGAAAUGCAGUUAUCCACCCGUGAAAUGACUCCAUUGGAAUCACAGGUGCAUUGUGUACUCAGAUAAUGAUGGAUGUUGACCUCGAAAUUAAUGUUGUUAUUACUCUCUCUCUCUCUCUCUCUCUCUCAAAAAAACAAUGAACACACACACGAGAGAGAGAGAGAGAGAGAGAGAGAGAGAGAGAGAGAGCAGUGUAGCCAAUUAAGACUAGUUCACCUAGAGGGUUUUUUGCGUGCUUGGGAGUACUUGCGUUACUGUCACAGCAGGAAGUGGAGAGCAGGGACUGAAAGGUAGAAACGUUGUUGUUGUUGUUGUUGUUGUUGUUGUUG
rnacentral:lncRNA from 1 species